GACCAUGUUCUUUUCUUCGCCGC
rnacentral:siRNA from 1 species